CAUGCAUGUCUAAGUAUAAGCAAUUUAUACAGUGAAACUGCGAAUGGCUCAUUAAAUCAGUUAUCGUUUAUUUGAUAGUUCCUUUACUACAUGGAAUACCUGUGGUAAUUCUAGAGCUAAUACAUGCUUAAAAUCCCGACUCUUGUGGAAGGGAUGUAUUUAUUAGAUAAAAAAUCAAUGUCUUCGGACUCUUUGAUGAUUCAUAAUAACUUUUCGAAUCGCAUGGCCUUGUGCUGGCGAUGGUUCAUUCAAAUUUCUGCCCUAUCAACUUUCGAUGGUAGGAUAGUGGCCUACCAUGGUUUCAACGGGUAACGGGGAAUAAGGGUUCGAUUCCGGAGAGGGAGCCUGAGAAACGGCUACCACAUCCAAGGAAGGCAGCAGGCGCGCAAAUUACCCAAUCCUAAUACAGGGAGGUAGUGACAAUAAAUAACGAUACAGGGCCCAUUCGGGUCUUGUAAUUGGAAUGAGUACAAUGUAAAUACCUUAACGAGGAACAAUUGGAGGGCAAGUCUGGUGCCAGCAGCCGCGGUAAUUCCAGCUCCAAUAGCGUAUAUUAAAGUUGUUGCAGUUAAAAAGCUCGUAGUUGAACCUUGGGCCUGGUUGGCCGGUCCGAUUUUUUUCGUGUACUGUGUUGACCGGGUCUUUCCUUCUGGCUAACCAUUUGUCCUUGUGGCAGAUGGCGAACCAGGACAUUUACUUUGAAAAAAUUAGAGUGUUCAAAGCAGGCGUAAGCUCGAAUAUAUUAGCAUGGAAUAAUAGAAUAGGACGUUUGGUUCUAUUUUGUUGGUUUCUAGGACCAUCGUAAUGAUUAAUAGGGACGGUCGGGGGCAUCAGUAUUCAGUUGUCAGAGGUGAAAUUCUUGGAUUUACUGAAGACUAACUACUGCGAAAGCAUUUGCCAAGGACGUUUUCAUUAAUCAAGAACGAAAGUUAGGGGAUCGAAGAUGAUCAGAUACCGUCGUAGUCUUAACCAUAAACUAUGCCGACUAGGGAUCGGGUGGUGUUUUUUAUUGACCCACUCGGCACCUUACGAGAAAUCAAAGUUUUUGGGUUCUGGGGGGAGUAUGGUCGCAAGGCUGAAACUUAAAGGAAUUGACGGAAGGGCACCACCAGGAGUGGAGCCUGCGGCUUAAUUUGACUCAACACGGGGAAACUCACCAGGUCCAGACACAAUAAGGAUUGACAGAUUGAGAGCUCUUUCUUGAUUUUGUGGGUGGUGGUGCAUGGCCGUUCUUAGUUGGUGGAGUGAUUUGUCUGCUUAAUUGCGAUAACGAACGAGACCUUAACCUACUAAAUAGUGAUGCUGGCUUUUGCUGGUUAUCUACUUCUUAGAGGGACUAUCGGUAUCAAGCCGAUGGAAGUUUGAGGCAAUAACAGGUCUGUGAUGCCCUUAGACGUUCUGGGCCGCACGCGCGCUACACUGACGGAGCCAGCGAGUAUAACCUUGGCCGAGAGGUCUGGGUAACCUUGUGAAACUCCGUCGUGCUGGGGAUAGAGCAUUGCAAUUAUUGCUCUUCAACGAGGAAUUCCUAGUAAGCGCAAGUCAUCAGCUUGCGUUGAUUACGUCCCUGCCCUUUGUACACACCCGCCCGUCACUAGUACCGAUUGAAUGGCUUAGUGAGGCCUCUGGAUUUGCUUAGAAGAGGGGGCAACUCCACUUCAGAGCGGAGAAAUUGUACAAACUUGGUCAUUUAGAGGAACUAAAAGUCGUAACAAGGUUUCCGUAGGUGAACCUGCGGAAGGAUCAUUUAAGAAAAAAACUGUUUAUAAACAGACGGUAGACUUUUCUUGGGGAGAAGUUAUUGAUUGCUUUGGCCUGCGCUUAACUGCGCGGCUAGUAGUUGAUGAUUUUGUUAUUAUCCGAGACGAAGGAAACGUCUGAUUUUAAAAACAUUCUACACUUUGGAGUACUUUUUUAUUAAUGUAUUUCUUCCUUGGACGAGCAAUUGUUCAAGGGUUAAUAAACACAAACAAUUUUUUUUUAAUUUUUAACACAAUUCAAAAAUAUAUCGUUUCUUUUAUUAGAAAUAUAAAAAUUUUAAAACUUUCAACAACGGAUCUCUUGGUUCUCGCAUCGAUGAAGAACGUAGCGAAUUGCGAUAAGUAAUGUGAAUUGCAGAUUUUCGUGAAUCAUUGAAUUUUUGAACGCACAUUGCGCCCUUUGGUAUUCCAAAGGGCAUGCCUGUUUGAGCGUCAUUUCCUUCUCAAAAGAGUUUUUUUAUUCUUUUGGUUGUGAGUGAUACUUUUUCCUUUUACAGGGAAGGGGUUAACUUGAAAUUGUUGCUUAGCAAAGAAGAAUUUUGAUUAAAAUUUCUUGUUUAUUACUAUUAGGUUUAUCCCAACUAGUGAUUAUUGAGAGUUUUUAUUACAGAGUCUUUUCACUUUUGCUAUAAUACUAUUCUAUAAGUUUGACCUCAAAUCAGGUAGGAAUACCCGCUGAACUUAAGCAUAUCAAUAAGCGGAGGAAAAGAAACCAACCGGGAUUGCCCUAGUAACGGCGAGUGAAGCGGCAAAAGCUCAAAUUUGAAAUCUGGCAUCUUUGAUGUCCGAGUUGUAAUUUGAAGAGGUUACUUUGGAGGCUGGCUCUUGUCUAUGUUCCUUGGAACAGGACGUCAUGGAGGGUGAGAAUCCCGUCUGGCGAGAGUUUCAGUUUCUAUGUAAAGUAGCAUUCGACGAGUCGAGUUGUUUGGGAAUGCAGCUCAAAGUGGGUGGUAAAUUCCAUCUAAAGCUAAAUAUUGGCGAGAGACCGAUAGCGAACAAGUACAGUGAUGGAAAGAUGAAAAGAACUUUGAAAAGAGAGUGAAAAAGUACGUGAAAUUGUUGAAAGGGAAGGGCAUUUGAUCAGACAUGGUGUUUCGUGCUUCUUGCUCCUUGUGGGCGGGGAGACUCACACGGUUCACUGGGCCAACAUCAGUUUUGGCAGCAGGAUAAAACUUUGGGAACGUAGCUUUCUUCGGGAAGUAUUAUAGCCCUUGGCAAUACUGCUAGCCGGGAUUGAGGACUGCGCAUUAUGCAAGGAUGUGCUAAGAGGCGCCCUU
rnacentral:rRNA from 1 species